AAGGCUUUAGCUUAAUUAAAUCGUCUGUUUUGCGUGCAGGAGAUGUGGGAUAGUCCCCCGCAAGUCUUA
rnacentral:tRNA from 1 species